AGCUUUGCGCAGUGGUAGUAUCGUAGCCAAUGAGGUUUAUCCGAGGUGCAAUUAUUGCUAAUUGAAAAAACUCCCAACAAACAAAAGUCCUGGACCAGAGGGCUUCACAGGUGAAUUUUACCAAACAUUCUAAGAAG
ensembl:snRNA U4 U4 spliceosomal RNA